GUGGAGUUCUGAUAGAAUCGUUGCAUUAGUUCUGGUAUGAUCGCUAAUGUUUCAUUCUGCGCUGCAAAUACAUACACUCUUUCUCCUUCCAUCCCCCCUCCCGUCAUUUGUUUCCUUGUGCGUGCACUCUGUAUCUCUCCUUCUCGUUCUAAUAUCAAGUAAAAUACCCCGGCACCGUGACUCACCAUUGCGAAUGAACCAGCGGAUAA
rnacentral:lncRNA from 1 species